rnacentral:ncRNA from 1 species
UUUUACAUGCCUGCAAUGCAGUGAAGAAAACGAUAUGACAACAAUAACGUCUAAUGUAACUGACCCCUCUAACAGUACAACUGGCCCCAGCUUGGCCCCCCCAGUUGAAAUUGUCUAGAACCGCCACUGUUCGUGGCACUGGCGUCUCAUUCGAACGUCAAUGGUAGUUUCUGUGCCUACCGUGGUGAUAACGGGGAAUCGGGGUUCGAUUCCGGAGAGGGAGCCUGAGAAACGGCUACCACAUCCAAGGAAGGCAGCAGGCAUGCAAAAGAUCCACUCCCGAUUUGGGGAGGUAGUAAUGA